AACCCUUCCAUCGUACAGCAGAUGAAGAGGAAAAACAGAUGGGACUUACAUAAAGGGAGCAUACCAAGUGUCCUGAGAGACACUGGAACAGUCACACACUUUAGGAAAAUAUGCUUCAGAAAGUGUAUUUUUUUAUUUCUAAGACAGCCCCUGUUCCAGUGUCCAGCACAUAGCCUAAGAAGCAUGACGUAGGCAGGUAAUUAGUACUGGGGAAUUAAAUUCUUGAGGAGAUGCUCUAUGUUCUUAGGACUGCAGCAUCCCCUGAAUAUUAUGUGUGGAGAGUGGGUCAUCUUGAAAACUUUACUGCUCCCUCUGUAGUUGAACGUAGGAAGCUAUCAAGGAACUUCACUCUUGCAGAGGGAGUCAGCAGCAACAAAAAUGGAGUGGUCUCAGAGUACCAUCUGGCUACUGGAAGGGCAAAACCUCACUGACCUAAUCCUCUCAAGAAAACAGUUAAGCUCUAAAUCUUACUCCUGAAAAUGCAGGUGAGCCAUUUUUACCAAGGCACUGGGAUUUCUCUCACUAUAGGUAAAGCAGGUCAGCCUCACCUGAAGCCAGUCAGAAGCUACGGCCCCAGGUCAAGUUGUGCAGAUGCAGAACAAUAACUCUUGUCUGAAUUACAUGAGCAGCACUUAGCCGACACCAAAUGCUAGUCAGCUGCAUCGUGUGCAGAGUGAGGUCCCUGAAAAGCCACAGCAAUGACCGGCUAAGUGACACCAGAGCGUGAGAUACAUCCAGAUGAAUGAACUUGUGAUAGUGAAUGAAGCUCAACUGAACUCCCUCUCUGCCCUGUGCAAAAUUCUACUUGAAGGACUGUCAUCUUAGGUCAGAAAAGAAGGGGAAGUUUGCCUUUUCAGUUUAAGGACAAUGGAAAUCACAACUCCUUCUUACUGCAUGUGUCUGCUUCCUGGCUGGAGGAACAAAGCUCCUGGAAUCGAAACCAGAUGAAAUGCAUUUGCCAAUAUAAGCCCCACAAAAACAGGUUCACAUGCCAACAACCACUUGCAGGAGAAAAAAGGACUGGCUCUCCUGGCCAAAUGAAAAAGUACAUUCUUGAUAUGGCAUCCAGCUGAGAACUUGAAUAGGAAGUAAUAUACCCAAUAGGCAUCCUGUAUCUCCCUCCAACCCAUCAUCCACCAAUUUUCUGUUCUCUCAACACUCUUAGAGACUAAGGAUCAGCAGUUCCUUUACAGGGAGACCCAGAAAGAAUCUUACCCUACAGUCAUAACAAGAACAAAAAUAAGUGCACUUUUAUCAGGACCUCUUCAUAAAGGGAAAAAUCCUCUUUCAUGGAUUCUUUGACAUCUAAGCAAAACUUCCAGCUUCCUCAAGCAGCCCAGGACCUUACCUUAGUUUUAUGUAGAGAAGACAGGUGUUUGUGAGAGGCUAUGAAAAAGCCUGUAAGAAUGACAGAAAAAAAAAUAGUUUGAUCACUGAGAAAACAUGAUAGAGCAUUAGAAGCCUGAACUGGCCUCCUUCGUGACAGAGGGGUAUCAACCACACUGUGGGCACUCAAGCAAUAUCAAUAGCAGUGCCAAAGGAUACGGGAUAAUGAGGAACAGGAAUAUGUGCUUUUCUGUGCUUCAAAAUGAGGCAAGAGUUUCCAAAACAAAUGUUUCAAAGGCAGAAAUGCCCAUGCAAACCACUGAUGUAUAACUCAGCAGACCAAAUGAUAAAUAACUAUCUGGGAACUUGCUCUUAGGUGUUUAUUUCUCUAGAAGUAGUGGACCUUUUUUUGCUUUUUAAUAUCAUAUUCAAAAACUAAAUUCAUAUGCUUAAAAUUUACUUUAGAAUUGGACAACUAUCUCAAUAUAGCUGAUUCCACCAUGCUCACUGUGAGUGCAUCGCAAACUGUGACAGCAACAUCAGCUGAGCAACCUCACAGACUCCAAGUGCAUCAGGAUUGCAAGAGUCAUUUUCAUUUUAGUCCUCCAAGUCCCUCUGCACAUUGUCUUUUCUCCAGAGAGAAAAUGGCAGAGACUGCAAUUCAAGCAGAAAGGCGCAGAUCCUGAAGAGUAGUUAGAGCAGUGGAAUCCCACUGUAGUACCUGCAUGUUUCUAAAGCAUUUUUUUGUAGGACUGAUAUCUAUGAACAUGGUGUUUUUACACAGCCAUAGCUAUGAAAACAACUUUUUGCUCACAGAAAUGUCACUCCAUCACAUCAUUAUAAGGGAAGAUGAAUGGGGUAUGUGACUGGCAGGGUAAGGGAAAGAAACAACUGGAUGUCAUAUAGCAAGACAUAAAACGCCUGGACCACACUACUGAAGGCAUAAAGUCAUUUCAACAGGACUACAUCCUACCAGCCUCUAAGUCUCUGCCAGACACCACAAACGAAUUAGUAACAUUAUAAACUAAGAUAGCAAAAAACACAAAGCACACUCCUU